GAUGAACGCUGGCGGCGUGCCUAAUACAUGCAAGCCGAGCGAAUGGAUUAAGAGCUUGCUCUUAUGAAGUUAGCGGCGGACGGGUGAGUAACACGUGGGUAACCUGCCCAUAAGACUGGGAUAACUCCGGGAAACCGGGGCUAAUACCGGAUAACAUUUUGAACCGCAUGGUUCGAAAUUGAAAGGCGGCUUCGGCUGUCACUUAUGGAUGGACCCGCGUCGCAUUAGCUAGUUGGUGAGGUAACGGCUCACCAAGGCAACGAUGCGUAGCCGAGCUGGGAGGGUGAUCGGCCACACUGGGACUGAGACACGGCCCAGACUCCUACGGGAGGCAGCAGUAGGGAAUCUUCCGCAAUGGACGAAAGUCUGACGGAGCAACGCCGCGUGAGUGAUGAAGGCUUUCGGGUCGUAAAACUCUGUUGUUAGGGAAGAACAAGUGCUAGUUGAAUAAGCUGAUACCUUGACGGUACCUAACCGGAAAGCCACGGCUAACUACGUGCCAGCAGCCGCAGUAA
rnacentral:rRNA from 1 species